rnacentral:rRNA from 1 species
CAGUACCGCGGGAAUACGUAGGUGGCAAGCGUUGUCCGGAAUUAUUGGGCGUAAAGGGCUCGCAGGCGGUUUCUUAAGUCUGAUGUGAAAGCCCCCGGCUCAACCGGGGAGGGUCAUUGGAAACUGGGAAACUUGAGUGCAGAAGAGGAGAGUGGAAUUCCACGUGUAGCGGUGAAAUGCGUAGAGAUGUGGAGGAACACCAGUGGCGAAGGCGACUCUCUGGUCUGUAACUGACGCUGAGGAGCGAAAGCGUGGGGGGCGAACAGGAUUAGAUACCCCCGUAGUCCCUGUCUCUUAUACA